GAUGAACGCUGGCGGCGUGCCUAACACAUGCAAGUCGAGCGAUUCUCUUCGGAGAAGAGCGGCGGACGGGUGAGUAACGCGUGGGUAACCUGCCCUGUACACACGGAUAACAUACCGAAAGGUAUGCUAAUACGAGAUAAUAUGCUUUUAUCGCAUGGUAGAAGUAUCAAAGCUUUUGCGGUACAGGAUGGACCCGCGUCUGAUUAGCUAAUUGGUAAGGUAACGGCUUACCAAGGCGACGAUCAGUAGCCGACCUGAGAGGGUGAUCGGCCACAUUGGAACUGAGACACGGUCCAAACUCCUACGGGAGGCAGCAGUGGGGAAUAUUGCACAAUGGGCGAAAGCCUGAUGCAGCAACGCCGCGUGAGCGAUGAAGGCCUUCGGUCGUAAAGCUCUGUCUCAGGAAGAGUAAUAGACGGUACUUGAGGAGGAAGCCCCGGCGUAACUACGUG
rnacentral:rRNA from 1 species